rnacentral:rRNA from 1 species
GCAAGUCGAGGGGUAACAUUGUAGCUUGCUACAGAUGACGACCGGCGAACGGGUGCGUAACGCGUAUAGAAUCUGCCUUGUACAGGAGGAUAGCCUUUAGAAAUGAAGAUUAACACUCCAUAAUGUUGCGAAUUGGCAUCAAUUUGUAAUUAAACAUUUAUGGGUACAAGAUGACUAUGCGUCCUAUUAGCUAGAUGGUAAGGUAACGGCUUACCAUGGCAACGAUAGGUAGGGGGUCUGAGAGGAUUAUC